rnacentral:guide_RNA from 1 species
AAAACACAUAAUAAAUGAUGAGUGCGUGAUA